rnacentral:rRNA from 1 species
ACGAACGCUGGCGGCGUGCUUAACACAUGCACGUCGAACGGAAAGGCCCUGCUUUUGUGGGGUGCUCGAGUGGCGAACGGGUGAGUAACACGUGAGUAACCUGCCCUUGACUUUGGGAUAACUUCAGGAAACUGGGGCUAAUACCGGAUAGGAGCUCCUGCUGCAUGGUGGGGGUUGGAAAGUUUCGGCGGUUGGGGAUGGACUCGCGGCUUAUCAGCUUGUUGGUGGGGUAGUGGCUUACCAAGGCUUUGACGGGUAGCCGGCCUGAGAGGGUGACCGGCCACAUUGGGACUGAGAUACGGCCCAGACUCCUACGGGAGGCAGCAGUGGGGAAUAUUGCACAAUGGGCGGAAGCCUGAUGCAGCAACGCCGCGUGCGGGAUGACGGCCUUCGGGUGGUAAACCGCUUUCGCCUGUGACGAAGCGUGAGUGACGGUAAUGGGUAAAGAAGCACCGGCUAACUACGU